GCGUCUGGAAAGAAUUUUGGUCAGGGAUGGGCUCGCGGCCUAUCAGCUUGUUGGUGGGGUAACGGCCCACCAAGGCGACGACGGGUAGCCGGCCUGAGAGGGCGACCGGCCACACUGGGACUGAGACACGGCCCAGACUCCUACGGGAGGCAGCAGUGGGGAAUAUUGCACAAUGGGCGAAAGCCUGAUGCAGCGACGCCGCGUGGGGGAUGAAGGCCUUCGGGUUGUAAACCCCUUUCAGCAGGGAAGAAGCGAAAGUGACGGUACCUGCAGAAGAAGCGCCGGCUAACUACGUGCCAGCAGCCGCGGUAAUACGUAGGGCGCAAGCGUUGUCCGGAAUUAUUGGGCGUAAAGAGCUCGUAGGCGGUCUGUCGCGUCUGCUGUGAAAACCCGAGGCUCAACCUCGGGCCUGCAGUGGGUACGGGCAGACUAGAGUGCGGUAGGGGAGACUGGAAUUCCUGGUGUAGCGGUGGAAUGCGCAGAUAUCAGGAGGAACACCGAUGGCGAAGGCAGGUCUCUGGGCCGCAACUGACGCUGAGGAGCGAAAGCAUGGGGAGCGAACAGGAUUAGAUACCCUGGUAGUCCAUGCCGUAAACGUUGGGCACUAGGUGUGGGGCUCAUUCCACGAGUUCCGUGCCGCAGCAAACGCAUUAAGUGCCCCGCCUGGGGAGUACGGCCGCAAGGCUAAAACUCAAAGGAAUUGACGGGGGCCCGCACAAGCGGCGGAGCAUGCGGAUUAAUUCGAUGCAACGCGAAGAACCUUACCAAGGCUUGACAUAUACCGAAAACUCAUGGAGACAUGGGGUCCGCAAGGGCGGUAUACAGGUGGUGCAUGGUUGUCGUCAGCUCGUGUCGUGAGAUGUUGGGUUAAGUCCCGCAACGAGCGCAACCCUCGUCCUAUGUUGCCAGCACGUCAUGGUGGGGACUCAUAGGAGACUGCCGGGGUCAACUCGGAGGAAGGUGGGGAUGACGUCAAAUCAUCAUGCCCCUUAUGUCUUGGGCUUCACGCAUGCUACAAUGGCCGGUACAAAGGGCUGCGAUACCGCGAGGUGGAGCGAAUCCCAAAAAGCCGGUCUCAGUUCGGAUUGGGGUCUGCAACUCGACCCCAUGAAGUCGGAGUCGCUAGUAAUCGCAGAUC
rnacentral:rRNA from 1 species